AGCCAUGGCCUAGGCCAUCUGAUGGGUGACACCAGCCUGCAGGGCCGAGUCCAAGGCCUGGAGAUAGGACCAAGCAUCAGGAAUGCCAGGAAUGUUUUUCUUCGGGCUCUAUCGAGGCACAGACCCUGGGGAUCCUUUCGGCAGUGACAGUCAUGACAUUUGCCAGAGCCCUGGACGGCUGUAGAAAUGGCAUUGCCCACCCUGAGAGUGAGAAGCACGGAUUGCAGAAAUGUAAGAAGCUGGAGACAGACUCUCUGCCUCCGAGACAGACCCAGCACCGAAGAAAAAUAACCCGGAGAAAUUACUUCUCAGCCUCAAGUGAAGCCGGGAUCAAAUGGUUGCUGAUCGGAGCAAAUAUUUAAAUUGGAUAAGUCAAAUGGAGCAUUAUUGAAUAAAGGUUGUUUAAUAAGUCUGAAACAG